rnacentral:tRNA from 1 species
CGGGACGUGGCGCAGUUUGGCAGCGCACCUGCUUUGGGAGCAGGGGGUCGCGGGUUCAAGUCCCGCCGUCCCGA